rnacentral:rRNA from 1 species
AAACCAACAGGGAUUGCCUUAGUAACGGCGAGUGAAGCGGCAAAAGCUCAAAUUUGAAAUCUGGCACCUUCGGUGUCCGAGUUGUAAUUUGAAGAAGGAAGGUUUAUGGGUCUUGUCUAUGUUCCUUGGAAUAGGACGUCACAGAGGGUGAGAAUCCCGUGCGAUGAGAUUCCGUAUUGUAAUCUUCCUUCGAAGAGUCGAGUUGUUUGGGAAUGCAGCUCUAAGUGGGUGGUAAAUUCCAUCUAAAGCUAAAUAUUGGCGAGAGACCGAUAGCGAACAAGUACAGUGAUGGAAAGAUGAAAAGAACUUUGAAAAGAGAGUGAAAAAGUACGUGAAAUUGUUGAAAGGGAAGGAUUUGAGAUCAGACUUGGUAUUUUGCAACCUUACUCUCGUGGUGGGGCCCCUGCAGUUUACUGGGCCAGCAUCAGUUUGGAUGAUGGGAUAAUGACUUUGGAAUGUGAUUCUGCUUCGGUGGAGUGUUAUAGCCAUUGUUGAUACCGUCUAUCUAGACUGAGGACUGCGUCUUUGACAAGGAUGUUGGCAUAAUGAUCUUAAAUCAC